rnacentral:rRNA from 1 species
AACGAACGCUGGCGGCGCGUUUAAGCAUGCAAGUCGAGCGGCAAGGGCCUUCGGGCCCCUAGAGCAGCGGACGGGUGAGUAACACGUGGACAAUCUGCCCCCCGGCCCGGGAUAGCCCAGGGAAACCUGGAUUAAUACCGGAUGAGACGGGACCCGCGAUGGCGGGAUCCGGGAAGGCGCUGCGGCGCCGCCGGGGGAUGAGUCUGCGUCCCAUUAGCUAGACGGCGGGGUAACGGCCCACCGUGGCGACGAUGGGUAGCCGGCCUGAGAGGGUGGACGGCCACAUUGGAACUGAGACACGGUCCAGACUCCUACGGGAGGCAGCAGCUAAGAAUCUUCCGCAAUGGGCGAAAGCCUGACGGAGCGACGCCCGCGUGAACGAAGAAGGCCGUGAGGUUGUAAAGUUCUUUUCGGGAGGGGGAACAACCGUGGCAGGGAAUGGCCGCGGGAUGACGUGAAUCCCGGAAUAAGCCCCGGCUAACUACGUGCCAGCCGCUGC